rnacentral:rRNA from 1 species
AGUGAACGCUGGCGGUAGGCCUAACACAUGCAAGUCGAACGGCAGCACAGUAAGAGCUUGCUCUUACGGGUGGCGAGUGGCGGACGGGUGAGGAAUACAUCGGAAUCUACUUUUUCGUGGGGGAUAACGUAGGGAAACUUACGCUAAUACCGCAUACGACCUACGGGUGAAAGCAGGGGAUCUUCGGACCUUGCGCGAUUGAAUGAGCCGAUGUCGGAUUAGCUAGUUGGCGGGGUAAAGGCCCACCAAGGCGACGAUCCGUAGCUGGUCUGAGAGGAUGAUAAGCCACACUGGAACUGAGACACGGUCCAGACGCCUAAGGGAGGCAGCAGUCGGGAAUAUUGGACAAUAGGCGCAAGCCUGAUCCAGCCAUACCGAGUGGGUGAAGAAGGCCUUCGGGUUGUAAAGCCCUUUUGUUGGGAAAGAAAAGCAGCAGGUUAAUACCCCGCUGUUCUGACGGUACCCAAAGAAUAAGCACCGGCUAACUUCGUG